rnacentral:rRNA from 1 species
AGAGUUUGAUCCUGGCUCAGGAUGAACGCUGGCGGCGUGCCUAACACAUGCAAGUCGAACGGAGCGCCCGGACGGAGUAUUUCGGUACAAAGACCGGGUGGCUGAGUGGCGGACGGGUGAGUAACGCGUGGACAACCUGCCGUGUACAGGGGGAUAACAGCCGGAAACGGCUGCUAAUACCGCAUAUGCGCACAGUGCCGCAUGGUACAGUGCGGAAAGCCUAGAUCUUAUCUAGUACGGUACACGAUGGGUCCGCGUCUGAUUAGGUAGUUGGCGGGGUAACGGCCCACCAAGCCCACGAUCAGUAGCCGGCCUGAGAGGGCGGACGGCCACACUGGGACUGAGACACGGCCCAGACUCCUGCGGGAGGCAGCAGUGGGGAAUAUUGCACAAUGGGGGGAACCCUGAUGCAGCGACGCCGCGUGAAGGAAGAAGUAUCUCGGUAUGUAAACUUCUAUCAGCAGGGAAGAAAGAGGACGGUACCUGACUAAGAAGCCCCGGCUAACUACGUGCCAGCAGCCGCGGUAAUACGUAGGGGGCGAGCGUUAUCCGGAUUUACUGGGUGUAAAGGGAGCGUAGACGGCCAUGCAAGCUCGGUGUGAAAGGUGCGGGCACAACCCGCAGACUGCACUGAGAACUGUAUGGCUGGAGUGCCGGAGGGGCAGGCGGAAUUCCUGGUGUAGCGGUGAAAUGCGUAGAUAUCAGGAGGAACACCGGUGGCGAAGGCGGCCUGCUGGACGGCGACUGACGUUGAGGCUCGAAAGCGUGGGGAGCGAACAGGAUUAGAUACCCUGGUAGUCCACGCUGUAAACG